AUUUUGGCAAAUCUAUUGAAGUUUUACUAUUUGAAGACUGUUGUAUAACGACAUAGCAUUAUCCAACAACGACAACAACAACCAUUGUGAACAGAAUUGCCUCAAACACUUCACGAUAUAUGGUUCAAAAAAUGACACGAUGCCCGUAUGUAGAAACUGUAUCUAGCUUUUGACGAAAGCCUCAAACCAAACACAAAUCAAUUGUUGAUGUAUCAUAAAAACAAGGCUUCAAUGCAUGUAGCUUUGUUUUAGUAUGUACAAAUAGAAUAUCAGUAAUCAUUUAGAAUAUUCCUUCUUUAAAUUGGCAAGUAACAAGUUCUGUUAAAUAUAUUUAAAGACAUGUUAUUUGUAUGGUAUGACCAUUUUGUGAAUUUAUGAUUCAGUAUAUUUAUAACUUUCUGAUGUGAUACCUAAAAACCUUUAAAAUUGAAGUAAUAAUUAACAAUAUUUUAUCAUUAUUUGGAUUACGCUCAUAACACUGUUGUUAUUUGUCAUAAACACAAUGUUUUAAAUAAAA
rnacentral:sRNA from 1 species